UCAUGACCUGAGCCAAAACCAAGAGUCAGAUGCUUAACCAAAUGCGUCACCCAGGCACCCUGCUGCAAUCUAACUGUCCUUUUAAGAGGACAUAUUUCCCCGAAUAAAACCUGCACCCAUCAUUCACAUGGGCCAGAGUAAGAAGGAACAGUCUUGGCAGGAACAAGAGGCAAAGGAAGCCUUAAAGUUGGAGAGCAAGAAAGAAGAGUGGGAGCGAAGGUCCUGGGCAAUGGAGCAGAUGUCCUGCCUACAACCAGUGCUUUUUAUGAGGAACCUGAGGCCCAUGGAGAAUAGGGGACCCACUGAAGACUUCAAAAUUUGAAAGGGCAAGUCUUUGGCUCCAAGUCAUCUUCACUUGGAGGCUGUGCCAUUGGCCAUCAGGCAUGGUACUUCUACCCCAAGCACAGAAUUAUCUAGACUAGUGUGGCCCCUACUCCAGGACAAUGAACCACGACUACAAAUUACACAGCAACCGUGCCACUUUGAGACUCUGCUCACCUGGAAAAUAGCAAGAAGGAAAAUGACCUUCCUAAGAGCUCCCUUUCAGAAAACUUCCUCGGUCCUUUUAAUUUCCUUACGGGUAGGAGCUGCCUGUGGCUCUAGCCUCUGGAAUUCCUCUUUAUGUCAUCAUGGUCUUCCCAGCACCGCCUCGGAGCCAUGGAAUCUUCUGGGCCAGCUGGGACAUACCCCUUCCAUCCAGGUCAGAUAGCUUAUAACAGACACUAUCAGGGGACACCUUUUCAGGGACUGCAAUGAACCCAUGAUGGUUGGCCCGAAACAGAUGAAAACAUACAAUACCAAUCCCUUGCGAGAAGAAAAGGUGCUUCUAAUCUGUUUGCUCCCAAAGCUGAAAGUGUGGAAGAGAAGAAAGCCAAGUAGAGAGAGAGAUGUCAGGGAAUACUCACU